AAGAUGGUUCUGCUAUCACUCUUGGAUGGACCUGCGGUGCAUUAGCUAGUUGGUAAGGUAACGGCUUACCAAGGCAAUGAUGCAUAGCCGAGUUGAGAGACUGAUCGGCCACAUUGGGACUGAGACACGGCCCAAACUCCUACGGGAGGCAGCAGUAGGGAAUCUUCCACAAUGGACGAAAGUCUGAUGGAGCAACGCCGCGUGAGUGAAGAAGGGUUUCGGCUCGUAAAGCUCUGUUGGUAGUGAAGAAAGAUAGAGGUAGUAACUGGCCUUUAUUGACGGUAAUUACUUAGAAAGUCACGGCUAACUACGUGCCAGCAGCCGCGGUAAUACGUAGGUGGCAAGCGUUGUCCGGAUUUAUUGGGCGUAAAGCGAGUGCAGGCGGUUCAAUAAGUCUGAUGUGAAAGCCUUCGGCUCAACCGGAGAAUUGCAUCAGAAACUGUUGAACUUGAGUGCAGAAGAGGAGAGUGGAACUCCAUGUGUAGCGGUGGAAUGCGUAGAUAUAUGGAAGAACACCAGUGGCGAAGGCGGCUCUCUGGUCUGCAACUGACGCUGAGGCUCGAAAGCAUGGGUAGCGAACAGGAUUAGAUACCCUGGUAGUCCAUGCCGUAAACGAUGAGUGCUAAGUGUUGGGAGGUUUCCGCCUCUCA
rnacentral:rRNA from 1 species